rnacentral:rRNA from 1 species
UACGAAGGGGGCUAGCGUUGCUCGGAAUCACUGGGCGUAAAGCGCACGUAGGCGGGUUCUUAAGUCAGGGGUGAAAUCCUGGAGCUCAACUCCAGAACUGCCUUUGAUACUGGGAAUCUCGAGUCCGGGAGAGGUGAGUGGAACUGCGAGUGUAGAGGUGAAAUUCGUAGAUAUUCGCAAGAACACCGGUGGCGAAGGCGGGUCUCUGGGCCGAUACUGACGCUGAGGAGCGAAAGCGUGGGGAGCGAACAGG